UACAGAGGGUGCAAGCGUUAAUCGGAAUUACUGGGCGUAAAGCGUGCGUAGACGGUUAUUUAAGUCGGAUGUGAAAGCCCCGGGCUCAACUCGGGAAGUGCAUUCGAAACUGGCGAGCUUGAGUAUGGAAGAGGGUCGCGGAAUUCCCGGUGUAGAGGUGAAAUUCGCAGAUAUCAGGAGGAACACCGAUGGCGAAGGCAGGUCUCUGGGCCACUACUGACGCUGAGAAGCGAAAGCAUGGGGAGCGAACAGG
rnacentral:rRNA from 1 species